AUUUAGAGAGUGAGGGGGGAAGAGAGAAAUGGUAGGGAAGUUUUGUUUUGGGGCUCUGUGAACUAAUUUUUCAGAUUCUGCUGCUUUGUAUUAUGAGUCUCAGAGGGCAUCCUCCCUCCGGGAAAAGUGGGAGGGGGAGGGGCCGCAGAAGUUGUGGCGGCAGCCGAAGACAUGUCUGCCAAAAUAGGAGCCCCUGGGCGACAGCCUCAUGGUCGGUCAGAUUAGGGCUGUUUUUCAGGUUAGAGUCAGUGCUUCCUGAAGGAGACACGGGAGGGGACCCCACACAUCUCCCAAGCACUGCGAUCACGGUCAGGAGAAUCCACAGUGCGGCCCCAAGUAAAACGUCUCUGAGAUAGAAAGCCUGUCCCAUGAGAAUAGAGUAGAGGGUUUGGGAAGCCUCUUCGUAAAAUGGAAUGAAUCCCAUGGUGGAGAGGAACACGGGGCUGCAGAGAGUCAAGCGGCUGUAUACUUACCUGCGUCUGGGCGGGUCGAGCCCCACGUUGGGUGCCAGGUGUCGGGUUGUGCCGCGGAGAAGAGAGAGGGGAGAUCCAGAGCGAAGAGGGAACACAAAUCUUUAUUAUUCGCACAGGCACCUCAGAAUUGGGUGAGAGUGCAGUGGUUCGGGCCACAUGGAGGUAGCAAAAAUGGCCACCUCCCGGACCACCCUCCCUUGCGUCUAAUCACCCAAGUGAAAAAAGGUUCCAGGGGCGGAAGGAGAAGGGAUUUAUAGGGCAACAACCAGGAGUGACGUGUUGGGACAGGAUUGGUUAAAAAAGGCACUGCGAGAAUAUCGAGAAUAUCGCGGGAAGUGGCAAAGCCUGAGGGGAGAGCUUGGCACUUGUGACUGCAUCUGCAUAAUUCCCCAGCACUCUGGGGACUGGGAAUAUUAAGAGCUUGUUGACUUAAUAGCUCCUGUUGGGCUGGAGUGACUGACAUGAAGACCAGUCAGUACUGAGUGGAGUAUUAUGCUUCCUUCACAGUGGAAGCAUUCAGUCUUCCUGUGAAGUGGUUUAGAGAACCAAGUGAGCUUUUGAUUGAAAAGCCAGGUGUCCCCUUAAGACUCAGCCUUGUGAACACCCAGCACACUGUCAGCAUAUUCUAUUGGUUGAAGCAGUUGUAAAUCAACUCGAUUCAGGGAUAUACAACUCCUCUUCCCUUUGUUGGGUUAGGGAGAUCAGAUUUUAAAUCUGCUUUGAUUACUUGUUAUUAUUUUUAAAAACCGUGCCUUCUUCAUUUCCUCAUUUCUAGGAUUGGUGGGGAAUCUUUAGCAGUUGCCCAGAACACAUAUGCUGUGAGUUGGUUUAAAGGCAAAGAAUUAAACCUGGUGUUUGGACUUCAACUUAGUAUGGCUAGAAUUCUUCUUACCAGGUAUGGUGACCACCUGCCCAGGGAUAGGAAGCCUUGACAGCUUCUUGAACAGCAGAAUCUUUAAAAAUGCUGGGAAGCCAGGGGCUAGAGGAGUGGGACCUGCUUACAAGCACCCUGCCUGGUCUUGAAGCAGCUUCUGUGUCCCUUAAAACACUGGCUUCACUCUACUGACAUAUGUCAGACUCAGUCCCCAUUAGCCACCUAAGCACAAGAACAGAAGAUACAAAAAACUACGUGUCAUUCUGCUCCCAUCCCCAAACCUGCUGCUGGAAGGUGGAGUCUCAGGCAGCGGGUGCCCUGUUUGUAGAGGCCUCAGUUUCUCAUUGUGGGACAGGGGAGCUCAGGCCUGGGGAGGCUUGGACUGUGGAUUCCUGGGGGCAGAGGUGCAGGAUGAGAUCAGGAAAACUUCAAUUUCUACAGAAUUUGAAAUUCAGUGUCAGUAUCUGUUGAGCCAUCCAGUGAACACAAUUAGUGCUGAGGGUACUGGGUCACACCAAGAGAGGUCUGGUCCCUGUCUUUGGACAGGGAAGCCCCAUGGAGUGGGCCCACUGAAGCUGUCCCCUUUGACCCCAGAAGUCCCUAUGAGCAGCAGAGUGUAGAGGGGUCCACACAGAUAUGGCUGAACAGGACUUCUGAACCCACCUAUCACCAACACCAUAACAUGAGCUCACUCUGACAUCCCCCCCAACCAAUAAAAGGCCACACUCCCACUGCCAGCACAUCUACGCUCUGGUCCAUGUGCACAUUUUAAACAGUACUCAGACUCCACUGUUAGAGACAAACAAAGCCAGUGGGCAAGGUGCCACUGGAUUCUGCAGGGAAGAAGCAGGAGCCAGUUCACAGGCGAGGGGCCAAGAGGGACAAGCCCAGCUUGCUGAAGAGCUGCUUUCCUUGCCCAUUUAAUUUCCUGAUUCUGUUUUAAUUAGGCAGUCUUAAAAGUAUCUAUGUUUUGUCCAAAAUCAGAUUUUUUUU